GCAGCGGCGGUUGGCUUCAUUCUUGGUGGCUGGGUCUUCUUCUCCGACGGGAGGAGGGAGGUGGGGGGUCUGACGAUUAGGGUUAGUAUUUAGUGUAAAGAAGAUUAUUUAUAUUCGUCCACUUUUAAUCUGAGCCUUCUAUUACAUUUGAUUUGGACUGUCUAAUCGCAAUUAAAUAGAAUGUGAAUCUGAACUAUUUAUCGCGAUUUAAUUUGGGCUGUCUGAUCGCGUUUGAGGAGGACGGAUCCGGAUCGUCCGUGCGCGUGGGAACGAAUCUGGACUGUCCGAUCGCGAACACGCAGAUCGCCAGUGUGGCCUUCCGCAUGGCACCGUGUCAACGUCCCUUGCCACGU
rnacentral:lncRNA from 1 species